UGUUCACUGUAAAUACACAUUGCAUACUAUCAAAACAAGCAACACUUUCAUACAUUUAUUAAGUGAUAAAGGAUUACUUUACUGAACAUUAAUUGAUAUUAUGUGUUUCCCCCUUUUUUACAUUUAAUGGAGUGUGAUUUUUAAAUGGGCUUCACUGUCAGGUUUGCUCUGCACAGGACUGGUGUGACUGCAGAGCUGCAUUCCAAACAAGCACGAGCUCGCCUGCUUCCAGCUGUUAAAUCUGUUGAUCUCAGUAUUCAACUGUUGAUCUUUACCUUCUUUGCUGGAAUGAGAAGCUGUAGUCACACCGGCCCUUUGCGGAUAGAUAGGGAUGUCCUAUGGUAUCUGAUUGUACAGCACAAGGAAUAAUGACAAAGCCAAAGCUGUGGCCCUGUCCUCACUGCCAGAAGCUAAAUUCUGCCAAUUCCAAAAGUUGCAGAUACUGUUUUGCAAACUUAAGUUUAAGGCAGAGAUGCAAAGAGAGGGAAGUCCAACUUCUGGCUGGACAGUAGGGAGAGACCAACCUGAAGCACAGAAACGCCAGCCGGGUGAUAGACUCUGCUCGUAUUACAGUUAGAAAACUGGAAGCACUAGGCUUGAAGCCCUUUCUUUUCAUUGGAAAGAAAGGCAAGAAAGGGAAUGUCACAGCGGAUGUUAUCACCUCUGUGGGUCCUGUUUUGGAUGGGCCACUUAAAGACAUUUUUAGUAAAAUGACCAGCUUGUAUGAAUACUUUUUGAAAAGUCAUGCAACGCUUCUGGCAGCCACCACAACAGCAGACUCUGGGAAUUCUCCACAAACACUUCCUGAAGAUUCUGCUCCUGAUACCGAUACACCCCAUGAAGAGACAUACUCUUCAACUACUGAUGCACCCAGUGAUACAGAGCACUAUGUGCUUAAUCUAAUCCCCAUCCCACCCUUUCAAACACCCUCUCUCCUCACAGAGCCUGCAUCUGUUACCUCUCUCCUCACUCCACCCAUUUCUGCUACCUCUCUUCUCACCCCACCUACAUUAGCUACCUCUCCUCUCGCCCCGCCUACAUCA